rnacentral:misc_RNA from 1 species
GAUGAAGAACGCAGCGAAAUGCGAUAAGUAAUGUGAAUUGCAGAAUUCAGUGAAUCAUCGAAUCUUGAACGCACCUUGCGCUCCUUGGUAUUCCGAGGAGCAUGCCUGUUUGAGUGUCAUGAAAUUCUCAACCUUUUCAGCUUUCUUUGUUGAUCAGGCUUGGAUGUGGGAGUAUGCGGGCUUCUCAGAAGUCGGCUCUCCUGAAAUGCAUUAGCGGGACCUUUGUUGCCUGGCUUUGGUGUGAUAAUUAUCUACGCCAUUGUGGUCAAGCAGCUUAAAAUGAGGUUUCAGCUUCUAACCGUCUCCCCUGAGACAACUUUUUGACAAUUUGACCUCAAAUCAGGUAGGACUACCCGCUGAACUUAAGCAUAUCAAUAAGCGGAGGA